UCAAGUUUAAGUUAGAAAGAUCAAGUGAGGAGUACCUUUCUCCUUGACUAUGAAUGACAUGUCUGAUACAUAAAGAGGAUAUGGAGUGGCUUUUUGGAUCAUAAAUGUCAAAGAAGUUUACCUCCAAUGCCUUUUGUAUUGCAAGAUCAUGGAGUAAAUCAUGAACCCUACACUCAGUAACUUUUUCCCAAAAUGUUCGUGCCACUUGAACCAAGCUUCGUCUUAUCAGCUCAUUCAAGAAGCCUUCAGCGACAUCCUCCAUUCUUUCUUCUCCUCUGGGUAUGAAACCCUCUGCCAUCCACAACCAUAUUAUGUUAUCAGCCUUGACCGCUUGAUCUUCUGGAAAAAUACCAAAGUAGAGAAAACACUGCUUGAGCGCAGUUGACAAAUCAUUGUAGCUUAAGGAUAGUAUAUUAGAGAUUUCAAUAGAUUUAUCUUCUUUAAUGUUCUUCCAAAGGUGAUCUUUCACCUUUUGCCAUUCGUUUUGCCCCUUUUUAUGCGAAAGUAGUCCGCUCAAUACAACAAUUGCAAGAGGUAAGCCUCUACACUUUUCCACCAUAUCCUUAGCUAGACUUUCCAUUGCUGGAACCAUUGCUCGAACAUCAAGUAGUUUCCUUACAAAAGAGAUCCCAACUUUCUUCUUGGCUUAGGAAACGAAGUUUAUGAACAAAACCUCUUUUGUCUGCUCUUUCAGCGACAUCCUCUUUGCGCGUGGUAAUAAUGACUCUGCUGCCAUUCUUGCUAUCCGGGAAUGCUCUUUUCAAACUCUCCCAUGCUUCUUUCUGCCAGACAUCAUCAACCACCACAAGGUAUUUACGUUCUUUCAAUAGAUCACGAAGGUGAACUUCUAGAUCUCCUUCUGUCAUAGUUUCCAACAAUCCUAGAGUUCCCUUGGUGCGACCUUGGAUGGAUUUUAUGAUAGUCUUAAGAAGAUCCAUUGUGUUGUACUCUUGAGAAACACAUAUCCAAGCGCGUGUAGGGAAGCUUGAGACUAUAUUGGGACUGUUGUAGAGGUUUCUCGCAAGAGUAGUCUUGCCCAAUCCGCCCAUGCCAUGAAUGGAGAGGACGUUUCGACGAGGCUCUGCUUUGAGAAGUUGAGCUAGCAAUGUUUGUACAACAUCCUGAAAGCCAACAAAAAUGUGAUCCUCAUCGACAUAUGAGGUUGUUCUCCUCAAUGUUCUAACUUGAUUGCUUGGCCCUUCUCCAGCAUUAUUAUUGAUAUUUGUAAUACCAUAUGUCUCUCGCCUGCGAGAAAUAUCUAUGAUUCGCUGCUUGAGUGAUUGAAUCUCCUCUGCGACAUUGUAGAAUUUCUUCUCCUUCCUACAUAUGCAAGCGCAAGCCUUGAGACGACUAGCACCUUUACCAGCCUCGAAACUGUAUGUCUCGAGUAUAGCGACAGCAUCAUUCGCAACAGAAUUGAUUUCAAACACCCAUUGUUGAACUCUAUGAUCUCCACUUUGCUUUAGUUCUGCAUCUCUGAGGAAAGACUGUAUGAAGAGUAGCUCAGUUUUCAGCCAUCUAAUUUCAUCUCUGAGAUUUGUUCUCAGUGAAACUUGUUGUAUUAGGAAAUCACCCAAUAUUUGAACUGCAAAUGACACAAAGGCAUCAGCCAUCUUUAGGAAUAUGGAAAUUAAUAUUUUUUGUAAAAGGUAAACUGUGUAUGGAAUUAAUAUUGAGAGUUUGAUAACUGAUGAAUAAUGUUAUAAUGGAAUUCAGUAUUUAAAGCUUUAAAAAUCCGACAGAGGAAAAAGUCUAAAAGUAGAAAGAUGAUAGAUUUGAGGUUAAUGGUAAAGAAAAGUAUAUAUUUUCUACUAACUGCAAGCUAAGAAUUUAAAAUUGCAUGACACAAGUUAUGCUCUAAGCCAUAACUUCAAUGUAGUAGCGAAGCCAAAAGUUUCGCUAAUGAUGUUCAGAAUUUAAUAUAUAUGUAUGAAAAAUAAUUUUUGACUUAUAUAUUUUAUACAAUUUUCUAUAUAUAGAUAAUAUAAUUUUUCAACGAAGGGUGUCCGACUGGACACUCUGAGCUAUAUGUGUCACAAGUUGUGUUUUAAGACAAGAAAUUAUGUCCCAAGGCACAAGUCCCCUAGGGCAAACAACAACCACAACAACAUACACAAUGAAAUUUUACAAGUGGGGUUUGGAGAGGGCAAAAUGUUUGCAGACUGUACCAUUACCUCGUGCAGAUAGAAGGUUUGUUUGAGAAAGACAAACAUUAUUUUAAAAGUUCUGUCCAGUGAAUUGUUUCCCGUUUAUAUACCAAGCAACUCUAAUCAGAUAAAUUCUUCUCAUAUAGUUCAAUGACUAAUAGAUCCUCACUAAUGUGUUUAGAAUGAGUUCACAAAGUUUUGAUCCAAGAAGCAACAAUAACAUGCAUAUCAAAAUCAAAAUUGUUACUUCAAUUCAAUCGAUUUAUAAGUUCAUAAUAAAGUUAUAUCUAACAUCCACUAAAUUACACAUAAAUUAAGUUAAAAUACAUUAAAGUUGAAUGUAGUGAUAAAAAUUCAUGCCAUUGAUAUUCAAGGAGUAUUUAGUAUGCAUGACUUAACAGCGAUUGUAAUCUGUCAUCAUUAUUAAGCAUCAAGACAAUAACUUGUGGCGAUAUUCUAGAAAUUAUUCUAUGAUUUAGAAAAUAAAAAAUACUACUAGAGUGGUUUUUAAAAAAGUUUUAAAUUUUUUUCUUAUAAUUUAUCCAAAUCAAAACAAUAUCCUUCUUAAUUCAUCAAUCCAAAACAAACUUAAAAAAUAAGAUACAAUAAAUACAAAAAACUAUUAGGUUUUAAAAAAAAAAAAAAAUCAAAUAAAAUUGGGGUUCUUUUGACUUGGAUAAGUUAUGGAAAAUCUAGAAGAGGUGGGGUUUUUAUUUCAUCCAAUAAAAAAAUGACACAUAAUAAAUAUUUUAAAAAAACAAAAUUAAGCGAGGUUAGUUAGUUUUAAGAGUAUAUGUGAGCCAAAAAGGUAAAUGGAAGGGUAUCUUUAGACCAAAAUAUGAGUAGAAGGAUAAUUUUAGACACAAAGAUGGAUGAAGAGUAUUUUUAAACCUUUUCUUAUAGUUCAGGGAUAUUUUUGGCCCUUUUCCGUUAAAUAAUAGAUACCUUUCUUUUCUUUUUAAGUUUCCUUGUUUGGGGAAUCUAUAGGAAGAAAUGAUGAGCAUGACUUCUCAAUUUUUCGAAGAUGCAUUUUGUAACUUUGAAGAGAUGAAAGUAAAAUAUUCGAAUUCAGCCUCGGAGGUUAUUCCAUAAAGAUUUUGUAUUAUCUUGAAGGUCAACUUUUCAAAAUUGAUUUGCUAAAAACGAAUUUUGUUUUAAAUUGUUGAUUUCUCAAAAGAACUGGAACGUCAAGAAGACUAAUAAUAUAAAAUUUGAGAUUAUUCGGGAAAAAUUUGAAUUUUUCCAUAUCGAGAGUUCAAACUCGAGAUCUGGGAGGAACAUUGUUAAGAAUUCAUCACCAACUUAAUUCUUUACUUAAGAUAAAUCAAGAAAAAUCUAGAAUAUUCCGGAGGUGUAAAGAAUUGAAGGAAGAUCUCUAGAAUGAGUAUUCUAGAAAGAAUAGUCUAGAAAUGUUCUAGAAAGAAUAGUUCUAGAAAAAGAUAGUUAGAAAUAUUCUAGAAUAGAGUAGUAUGUAUCUCUCUAGAUUCUUCCAUCACCUCCUAUAAAUAGAGGUGGUCCAUUUGAGUUGUAUGCAACUAAGCAACUAAGAAAGAAAGCAAUCAAGAAACCAAGCAAAAAAAAAGAGUAAGAAAUAAGAGAGCAAACAAGAGUGAGUGCUCAAGUAAAGAGUGUUGCUGAAGCAAGCAACAAGUGUGAUCAAGAUUGUAAGACCGAAGCUGGUCCUUACUUUGAUAUAAUAAAAUUCAAGUUGUGAGAAAUCGAUAGUGCCCGUCGUCUCCAAAACAAUAAUAUUCAACAAACAUAUCCUUUGGUGGUAUUGUAGUUUUAUUUAGUUUGAUAUGAAUGUUGUGUAUAAUGUUGUUGUAGUUGUAUUAGAUUUUCAGUAACUAGCAUGAGCUUCAUACAAAGUUUGUAUAAUAAUUAUAUACAUAUUUCAUACCAAAAUUCUCCUAUACGUUUCAUAAAUAUGAAUGUUAUUUUCUAUAAUAUAUACUCUGAGAAGCAAUAGACAUAAAAGUAAGAACAAAUAAUGUGUUGAAAGGUCCACUUAUCACUUGUGUGAUUAACGUUCAGAAAAAAACGAAACAUGACCACGUGGUUUCUGAAAAUAAAGAGAAUUACGAUUAGACAAACAAUUUUCAUUUCAUGUUGGGAUAAGACACAAGUAUCCCCUAGACUAUGACCGAAAUUCCAAAGACACAACUUAACUAAUUUAAGGUCCUAUUACCCCCUAAACGCAUUUUUUGUAUAAUUUUAUACACCUUUUGGCUUACGUGGCACACUCCGUGACUCCACCGAGUUUGCUCGAUUCCGAGUUCGUAUGAGUGAGUUGUGCCCUUUGGAAGUUGGGCUGUUAGCAUAGGAAAGUUCACCCGAAUUUGUAAGGGUAUUUUGGUCUUUUCCCUAACCAUUUCUUUUGGAUAUAUUAAGGGUCCCAACUGAUUUUAAAUCAGUAUUUCCUUUUUAAAAGUGAGUGUUAGGGUUGUGAGUGAAGAGAGAAAGAAGAGGAGAAAGAGAAGGAAGCUAAGUUCGUCGAGAUCGUCGUGGAUUUCGUCGGGGUGAUCCCUAUUAAGGUAUGUGAGAUCAUAGUGUUGGGUUGGUUCAUUCCCCCACACGCCAAACUCGUUUUACUUUUCGAGAAAAAGAUUGGUUGUGUUUGUUGAAUUCUUGUGGUUGUGUUGAAGUUUCUUGUUGAUUUGGUACAUGUUUCCGGAUGGAAUUCCGAGUUGAAUCUAUUGUAUAUUAAGGGUUUUAAUGAUCCCAAGUGUUUGGGGAAAGAACCUUUGAAGUUAAGAGGGUUUAGAGUUGGAAAAAUGAAGGAGAAGAGUCGGGCAGCUUCCAUGAAACCAGUCCGCGUCACGGACUUGUUCCCUCUGUGAACAAAAAUCUGCUCCGCGUCGCGGACAGGAUGCGGACUCCACUGUUUCAAAAAUUUAUUUUCGUAACUCUUCUUAAGUUUAGCUGUCCUAAAUCAUUCCUAAACAUCAAGAGACCUUUCCUAUCACAAUCAUGAACCUUGAAUCCAUAAUCCAAUUCAAGGAAAAGGUUAGGAUCAAAGUCAAGUGAAGUUAUGAAGCAAGUCAAAGUAAGUUUUUAAAGUUUUCUUCAAGAGACUUUACUAAACGUCUAAACUUCGUUUUAAGACUCAAGUUUCAAGCAAAGUAAAGAGUAUAUGAGUUCUUUUUCUCAAGAGUUACUAGGGAACUACGUAUUCCCCAAAGAAGUUUAUAAAUGUUUUUACAUUUGAGUAAGAAAGGAACUAUGUUUUCCAAGAGAGCCUUUGGGCUAAGCUUUGAGUAAUUAUCUCAAAAUAAAGAAAGAUUUGUUUAAAACACUUAUGAGCUAAAGUAUNNNNNNNNNNNNNNNNNNNNNNNNNNNNNNNNNNNNNNNNNNNNNNNNNNNNNNNNNNNNNNNNNNNNNNNNNNNNNNNNNNNNNNNNNNNNNNNNNNNNNNNNNNNNNNNNNNNNNNNNNNNNNNNNNNNNNNNNNNNNNNNNNNNNNNNNNNNNNNNNNNNNNNNNNNNNNNNNNNNNNNNNNNNNNNNNNNNNNNNNNNNNNNNNNNNNNNNNNNNNNNNNNNNNNNNNNNNNNNNNNNNNNNNNNNNNNNNNNNNNNNNNNNNNNNUAUAUAUUGAGUUCAGUUAUUCAUGAGUUGAACAGAGCCAAGGUAAGAGUUCCUUUGUACUCCUUUCAAGCUUAAGUUGUUGUUUAGCUUUCUAGCUCACAUACUCGUAUAUUCCAUGUACUGAUGCCAGUUGGCCUGCAUCGUUUUAUGAUGCAGACGCAGGUACCCAGGAUCAACAUCCAGCACGCCGUUGAUCCAGCUGAGCACUCCAGAGUCAGUGGUGAGCCUCCUUGCCUUCCGGAGGACUCUGUUCUUUUAUGUUCCUAGUUUUGCUUUAUUAGGAUGUUGUGGGGUCUAUCCUAACAUCCAUCUCAGUGUUUUAGAGGCUUCAUAGACAGUCAGUCAGUUAGUAUUGAGUCUCUCAACUAUUUAUAUAUAUAAAUAUUCUAUUUUGAGACACGAGUUGCCUUUUGGCCAGUUUUUAUCAGUUGGGUUGUUUUAUGACCUUUCAUUGCAUUAAGUUAUUCUAUUGAGUUAGGUUUCCGCUGAGUUAAGAAAGCCAGGCCAAGGGUUCGCUUGGGGCUAGCAAUGGUCUUCGAGUGCUAGUCCCGCCCAGGGUGUAGGCUCGGGGCGUGACAGAAUCUCAACGAAUCGUAGCAACAAAAGAUACAUAGACUUUAAUUUAUUAGCUAAAGGAAUAUUGUUCGUACCUCAUGGAACAAUCUAGGGGUGUACAAAAUCGAACCGAAAACCGAAUCCAACCUCAAAUCGAGUCAAACCGAAAAAAAACCCCAUUAGUGUUUUGGUUUGACUUGGUUUGGUAUUGAAAAAAAUAACCCAACUUUAUUUGGGUUGGUUUGGUUUUAACUAAAAAGAACCAACCCAAGACCAAACCAACCCGACAUUAUAUAUAUAAUUUUAAAAUUUUAUUUUAUACAUAAAAAUAUUUACUUUGAUAUCAUUUUUAAAUAUUUCUUAUACUCUUUUAAUAUAUUAUUUCAAGUUUGAAACUUAGAAUUCUGAAUGAUUCAAUAAAGAUUAUAGUCCACAGAUGUUGGUAAUUAUAAUAAAGGUUAAAUCAAAAUCAAAUUAAUACUAAUGCAAAAAGAAAAUCAAUUCAACACUAAGAAUGACAAUAUAUAAUAUUGAAUAUUUAUUCUUUAGUUUUACGUUGGUUUAGACAAUUAAAAUACAUAAUCUAAUUUUAAUUUCCUUUAAUAUUUAGUCAUGUAACUAAUACUUAUUUUAACAUGAUUUAGUACUUUUAAAUUAUGAUCAUUUUCACCAUGACUUGUUAAUUUGCAAUAUUUGUUUUACGCAAUUUUAUUAUUACGUAUAUUUUUUUUGUUGGAUAUUUUAGUGUCAUUAAUCAUAUCAUAUUUUGUGUUAUUUUUUAAGAAACACCUUAGAUAGUUGUAUUUUAGUAGGACUAAAUAAAUAUUUGAAGUACAAGUAAAUUUUAUGUUUGUAUGAAUACUUUACCGAAAAAACCCGAGGUUGAAAAACCCGAGUUUUAUUGGUUUGGUUUGGUUUUAUAAAUUUAAAAAUCCGAUACAAAUGGUUUGGUUUGAUAUUUGAAAAACCCGAACCAACCCGGCUAUGUACACCCCUAGAACAAUAUUCAACAAAUUCGAGUUGACCUCCAAUACUACCAUCACAAGUAGUCAUCAAAUAUCCUCUUGCAAGCCUAACACAAGUAUCACAAUCUGAAUAUUGUACAUUUGAACCACAAGUAACAUGACCAUAAGCUAAAGCAUCAUCAUUAGGAUAAGGAGAUGUUAUGUAAUAAUCAUAACCUUGUUUUGGUGUCUCAUUACUUAAUUCUAUAAGAACAUAUAUAAGACAAACUAUCUGAAAAUGGACCAUUUUUGUCAUACAUUUCACCGUUGCAUGUAUGGUACCCAAUAAUUUAGACUCUGGAAAUUCACUUCUCACAAAAUAAUUAAAGUAACCCAUGACUAAAAUUAUAAUUAGGAAUGUGGUUAACACUCUAAUUCUCAAAAUUGAACUCAUAGAUAUAUGUAUAUAUUUUCUAUUACAUUUGUGUUACAAAUAAUUGAGUUUAGUACUUUAAUGUCCUUUUUUGUUUAAAUAGAUUUAUCCAUCCUUUGAUUUCUCCACCAAUGAAAAUUAAGUAUUCCAUAAUUUAUAUUUUAUAAAUUAUGUAUGUUGCCGGCAAAUAAACCAUUACUAUUUCUUUGCUUUGAUAUUAUAAAUCAUAAUGCUUGGUAUAAUUCUUGCAAAGAGAGGAAUAUUCAUCAUACAAAGAAAGAUCCAUUAAAAGCAAUUGAUGAUUAAUAAUACUGAUCAUGCAAUGUUAUUAUUAUUAUUGAAUUAUUUGGAUUUCUACUCAUAUAGAAUUAUUGGGUUUUAAAAUUAACAAUUUAUAUGUAUUAUAUAGGAUUUAGAUCAAAGCAACUGAAUUCAGCUGAAUCAAUAACUGAAAAACUAGCUCCACCCUUACUAGUUGCUUCAGGUACUCUAUAGUGAUUAUUGUGCAUUUGUUUUACAAUUUGAUUGUUUUUGUUAUUUAGUUUCGAUCAUUUGAUUUUCGAUUUUCAAACAUGAUUGCUCAACGUGAUUAUUGUUCCCUUCGUCCUAAUUUAUAUGAAAGUAUAAAUUAUAGUUUGACUCUAAAAAAGGAAAUCAUGACAAUUAAAAGUGAACGGAGGGAGUAGUAUAUAUUAUCUUCCUUCUUUUUUUUUGUUAAAGUUGUUAUAAAAACUCGUUCAUGGGUUAUGUUUGGAUGGUUAAAUUUCGAAUCCAAAGUUAAAAAAAACAUCACUUUUUCCCUUCAAAAUACAUAAAGGGCCAUUCAAAUUUUAGUUUAAUCAAAAAGGGACACUUCGCUAGAGAAGGAGCGAGAUAUGUUGGUGCUAUAACUACCGUUAACGAAAUAAAAAAAUUGAUCAUCUCGCUAACUUAUGAGCAAUUUUCCUCUUUUAUUUUAUCUUUUUUCUCGCUACUUAUGAGUGAUUUGCUCUCUAUUUUUUUCCCCCAAAUAUCGUUCUACACUAAGCGAAUUUGUAAGUUUUUUUUUUUGUUAUUCUCGUUGCACACUGAGCGAGUUCUCAACUUCUUUUAUUAUAUGCCCUCAUAGUAACCCCAUCAUUAAUUUUUAUUUAGAUAACGAUAAAAACUUUCUAAUAAAAUAGAAAACAUUUUUAUUUCUUAAUAUUUUUUAUAAAUUGAAGUAGGAUAAACAUUUUUCCAAUGAAAAAAUCAUUAUUAGAAAAAGAAUGUGUUUUAAAAAAAACAGAAAUAAUAUAUCAUUUUUGACCUAUUAAGUACAACAAUAAGUGCAUUUUUAGACCAAACUAGUGAAGACAAUCAUAUUUUUUUAACCCCUUUUCUGUUAACUAGUUUUACGGAACGUGCGUUGCACGUUUAACUCAAAGUACAUAAUACAAAUCUUAUAUUGCAAAUGAUAUAGUUAAAUAAUAUAUAUUUUAUUUCACUUUUUCAGUACAAUAAAAUAAAAAUCAAAACAUAUAAAAAAAGUAACAACUCAUAAGUUAAAGGCUAAAAAAUCUUACAAACAUGAUACAUAUUUUAGUGACAUAUAACACCUUAAUUUAAAUACUCAUUGAAUAGACAAUAAGAAAUAAACUGAUGCGCAUAUAUUGAAUCCCAUCAUGAUCAAUCCAAAUACACAAAAAUCUUAUAAAAUUUGCUUCGGCUCAACCACAUGUACAUUAAAAAGUAAGAAAGUAGAAAAGGGAGAUAAUUGUAUAUUAAUUAGUAUAGCGACAUAAACCUAAAAAUAUGAUAACAUUAAGUUAUCAAUUAAUAUACUUUGUUAAUUAAGUACCUGAAACUAAAAUUAGUGGAGAAGAAGAAAUUAACUAAAUAAGAAGAGCUUGUGCAGACUGUAGUGAGAAAAAGAUCAUAACUCAUAAGCACAAAUAGAGAUCUUUAAUAAGAACAAUGAAAAUUGAAAUGCAAAUGAUGAAUCAGUUGGAAGGGAAUAGAAACUUAAGAGAUAUUUAUAUAUUAAUAUAUGUGAAGACUCCUUCAAAACUUUCAAUAUUAUAUUAUUAAUAUUUGGGAGUUAAUAGACUUAUUUAAUAGUGUUUUAUAAUUAGUUCAUGUAAUUAGAGGAAGAUGAAAAAACUUUCUUGAAAGUAACAAUUUUUUAUUUUUAUAUUUGGUGGAGAAACUGUCUUCUCCUUUAUUUGAGUAAAUAAAUAGGUGAGCAUUUAAGCAGUUUUCAGUUUUUUCCCCUUCAUUACACAUAUAUGUUAGUAAUUUAAUUAGGUGUUUAUGCUUUCUAAUCAUGGACAAAAAUGUUACUUCAUUUUACGUGAGAAUUACAAUAGUUUUUGUUUCUUCUUCUUCUUCACAUGUUUUUUUAGUCAUUUAAUAUGAAAUUUAUUUUUUCUAAUCAUGGAUAAAAAUGCUACUUAACUUUACAGAAUAUUUUCAUAAAUUAACUGUUCUCUCUUUUUUUUUCUUUUUUUUAAUAUAGCAAUUUAAUUUGAUAAUGACUUACGAAAUUGAGAAGUCUAUUAAACACAAAUGGACAUGAGACUCUUUAGCUUAUAAGGGGGAAAAAAACAGAUGUGUUAAAAUCCAUUCCAAUUCACAACUGAAGUCAUAACCAUCAUUUAAUAGAAUCUCAACUUUAAUGUCUAAAUACACUCAAGGUGCGUUAGUCCUGCAAAUUGGUCUAGUAAUAAGAUUAGGACAUUAAAUGUAUAUAAUAAUAAUAAUAAUAACAACAACAACAACAUGAUAAGAUUAUUAUUUAAUAUUUAAUAAAUUAGAUAUUUUAUAACAUUUUUAUUUAGAAAUAAGGGGAAGAUGGGGUAUAUGAUUAAUAGUAGAUCCCUUAAUAGUAUUAUUGUAGUAAUUCAACUUUAUAAGGUUAUUUUGGUAUUUCAACUUUCAACUUUUUUUGUUCUCACUUUUAGUAAUAUAAUAAUAAUAAUAAUAAUAAUAAUAUAUGAAUGAUAUGAUGAUGAUAUAUACAUUGUUUUAUCUAUCAUAACUUUUCAAAAUUUUCCAUUGAGAAUUAUGAUCAUGAUUUAAAACAAUAUCAAUGUACUCAUUUAUCAAGAAAAUAACAAUUUAAUUAUUAAAUGGCUUAAGGACUUAAAUUCUACCAUUAUGUAACUAAAUUAUUUGUAUUUAAUUAAAUAAUUAAUCCAAUUUUUAUUUAGUAAAAGGGCAAAAUGGUAAUUCAACUUUUCACUUUGAAGCUUCCCACUUAUAAUAAUAUAUGAUUAAAUCAUCACAAAAUCCCCCAAAUCAAGCAUUCAAAAACCAAAAAACAUUCAAAUAGGUUUCUAUUAUCAAAUAAAACCUUGCAUAUGGUUGUAAAGAUCCACCCAAUUUAAUUUCUCUUCAACAUAUUUCAUUCUCUCUGGAAUCUCCUUCAGCUUUGAACAGUGACCGAUAGCAAGUCUUUUAAUGAGAGGCAUGGCACUUGUGGCUAAAUGGCACAUUAUUUCUUUUCCAUUAUAAGCCUCUUCUAAUAUGAGAUCUCUUAGAUUUGGCAACAUUCCCAAAGUAGGCAUCGAAUCAUGGCAUCGAAUCUUCCAUGAGUUUUGACUUCCAAAGAACCAUCAUAGUGAUGGAAUUUGGAAACAGAGGCAGUUUCUCUAUUCUCCCUUUUAACAACAAUUUCUGGACCUUUUGACAAGAACUAAGAAAUUCAAGGGAUGAGAAUGAUUUAUCCAAUUUACAAAACAAUCUGAGACUACUAAGGUUUUUCAAGCUGCUAAUGUUGUUCAGGGAGUAAGAUUUGGUAAUUCGAUGCAUGCUUAAUUCUCGAAGAUUGACUAAAUCAACAGGGUCAACAUCUUUCCACUGAUCACAACGAACGUCUUUAAGAACUUCCAAACUAAUGAGUUUGCUUAUACGUUUCAGAGGUUUUGAAUAUGAAGCAACUAAAUGUCUUAGAUUUAUCAGGUGGGUAGUUCGCAAGAGUAUUCCCCCUCAUUGACAACAAGUGUCUGUAGAUUCUUCAGGUUGCCAAUGGAAGAGGGAACAUCACGGAUACCUCUCAAUAUUAGCAACUUAAGGUGGUACAAACUUCCAAUGGCAUCAGGUAUUAUAGACACAGCACGCAUAUCCAAGUACAACACAUAGAGAUGUUGGAACACACUACUGAACUUCAUAAGACUCAUAUUAUGAAAAUCUGGAUCAGAGAACAUAAUUGACCUCAACUUCAAGUUAGAAAGAUCAAGUGAGAGGUACCUUUCUCCUUCACUAUGAAUGACAUGUCUGAUACAUAAGGAGGAUAUCGAGUGCUUUCUUGGAUCAUAAAAGUCAAAGAAGUUUACCUCCAAUGCCUUUUGUAUCGCAAGAUCACGGAGUAAAUCAUGAACCCUACAGUCAGUAACUUUUUCCCAAAGUGUUUUAGCCACUUGAACCAAGCUUCGUCUUAUCAGCUCAUUCAAGAAGCCUUCAGCGACAUCCUCCAUCCACAACCGUAUUAUGUUAUCAGCCUCAAGCACUUGAUCUUCUGGAAAAAUACCAAAGUAGAGAAAACACUGCUUGAGCGCAGUUGACAAAUCAUUGUAGCUUAAUGAUAGUAUGUUAGAUAUUUCAAUAAAUUUAUCUUCUUUAAUGUUCUUCCACCUUUUGCCAUUCGUUUAGCCCCUUUUUAUGCGAAAGUAGUCCGCUCAAUACAACAAUUGCAAGAGGUAAGCCUCUACACUUUUCCACCAUAUCCUUAGCUAGACUUUCCAUUUCUGGAACCAUUGCUCCAACAUCAAGCAGUUUCCUACAAAAGAGAUCCCAACUUUCUUCUUGACUUAGGAAACGAAGUUUAUGAACAAAACNNNNNNNNNNNNNNNNNNNNNNNNNNNNNNNNNNNNNNNNNNNNNNNNNNNNNNNNNNNNNNNNNNNNNNNNNNNNNNNNNNNNNNNNNNNNNNNNNNNNNNNNNNNNNNNNNNNNNNNNNUAAGAAGAUCCAUUGUGUUGUACUCUUGAGAAACACAUAUCCAAGAGCGUGUAGGGAAACUAGAGGCUAUAUUAGGACUGGUGUAAAGUUUUCUCGCAAGAGUGGUCUUGCCUAAACCCCCCAUUCCAUAAAUGGAGAGGACGCUUCGACGAGGCUCUGCUUUGAGAAGUUCAGCUAGCAAGUUUUGUACAACAUCCUGAAAGCCAACAAAAAUGUAAUCGUGGUCAUCCACAUAUGAGGUAGUUCUCCUCAAUGUUGCAACCUGAUUACUUGGCCCUUCUCCAGCAUUACUAUUGAUAUUUGUAAUACCAUAAGUCUCUCGUUUGCGAGAGAUAUCCAUGAUUCGUUUCUUGAGUGAUUUGAUCUCCUUGGCGACAUUGUAGAAUUUCUUCUCCUUCCUACAUAUGCAAGCACAAGCCUUGAGAUAACUAGCACGUUUACCAGCCUCAAAGCUGUAAGUUUCGAGUAUAGCAACAGCGUCAUUAGCAAUAGAGUUGAUCUCAAACACCCAUUGUACAACUCUAUGAUCCGCACAUUGCUUUAGUUCUGCAUCUUUGAGGAAAGGUUGUAUGAAGAGUAGCUCAUUUCUCAGCCAUGUAAUUUCAUCUCUGAGACUUGUAAGCAGGGAAACUUGUUGACUGAGGAAAUCGCCCAAUUUUCGUAGUGCAAAUGACAGAAAGGCAUCAGCCAUCUUCAGGAGUGUUGAUUUUUAUUUAGAAAAGAGGGGGCUGUAGGCUGUAUAUAUACAAAUAAAGUUUAAGUCAAGAAUUGAUAUAAGGCCAAAAAUGGACGAUCAAUACGAAAGCAAGACAUGAAUUAUUUGCCGGCAUAUGCAUUGGUUAAAACACUAUGUGGCUGUGUUUGAUACUCAUCAAUGUCAUAUCAUGAUAACAAGUUAAGACAAUUCAAAUUGAAUUAUCACCUGAAAUUAAAUUUAUCUUUUGUAGUAACAUAAUCAGUAAUCACAUAUAGUUCCCUGAUAGUACAUAUAUUUUUUUUAAAUACAAUUUCCUUAGUAAAAAUCAUAGCACUCAUAGUGCAUAUAAUUUUUUCUUAAAAAUUAUCAUUAUAAGUAAAAAUAAAAUAAAAUGGGACCCCAAAAAUAUGGGCCCCAAGUAAUGGAUUUAGUGGCCUAGGGGUUAAGACGGCCCUGGUUGUGGUAAAUGACAGUUAGUGGUAUUAAAUACUUCUAGUAAUUCUAUUUUAUCAUUUACCGUAACUUUAUUAUAAUAGCUUUAUCACGCAACCUAUUUUAUUAUAAUACGAUAAAGAGGUUGUUUUCGAAAGACCCUUGGCUCAAGAAAAAGAUUUUGAAAGAAAUGCAAGAGCCAAAAAAGUUGCUAUGAAAAUAUGGAUUCCUCUGAAUAUUUAGUGAAGUCUGAAUUCUGAUACCAUGACGGUUUCUGAAGAAACCAGAAACUUCUCUAACAGACUAGUAAUUUGAUGAAGAAUAUUUAGUGAAAACUAAAAACAAGUAGCACCAAAAGCAUGGAAUAUUUAAUUUGCAUUGAUGGAGAAAUCAAGUUCUUGAGUUUUGUAAAAUAGACAAACACUGACUCUGUACCUUGCUGCAGAGUUGCAAUCUCCUUAUUUAGACUGAAGGUUCUUGAUCCGUCCAAGGGUCUUUCGAAAACAAUCUCUUUGUAAAAUAGACAGACACUGACUCUGAAUUCUGAUACCAUGACGGUUUCUGAAGAAACCAGAAACUUUUCAAACAGACUAGUAAUUUGAUGAAGAAGAUAGCUUCAUUUACUUGAUGAGUAACAAUCAGAUGUGAGUAGUCUAUUUAUACUACUCAAUAAGCUACUCAAUACAAGUUGUUGUUAGUAACUAACUGUCACUAUCUAUAACUAACUUAGUAACUAAUUAAUUAACACUCUUUUCUAACUGUUUUCUGGAAGUAGUCUGACAGAUUUCUUUGUUUGAGUUCUAUCAACAUGGUGCUAGAUAGUUAAAACAAAAACAACCAACAUUAUAGUAGAUCAAGCUAUAAUUAAUUUGAUUUAUGAAAAAACAUAGAACCAAUAGAGAAAAACAAUUGAGAAAGAUUGAACAACAGAGUCUUGCGUCUUAAGUGAAGAACUAAUCAUAAACUUAAAAGAAAGAAUUUCACUGAGAAAACGAUUUGGGUGGGGGAGAGGUGGGGGAAGACGAUUUCACAUGUCUUUAUUUAAUUCGUCACUUUGACGUGUCAUCAGCGAGUGUGUUACACACACCUUACACAUUUGGCUGAUUGUUAAAAAAGUGUCAAAAAGACAUAACGGGGCAUAACAUGAGGUGUCUAAAAUGAACAAAUUCUAGUUAAAGUGUCUAAGUGAAAACUUGUGCCAACUUUAGGUGGCCACCGAUGGAUUAGGCCAAUGAUAGUUAGGUACGAGCAUUACUCAUUCAGCUAAUAAACUAGAGCCUACUCUUGUUGCCCCGAUCCACAGAGAUUUAGUCAUUUGGCACUCUGAUUGUCUUACGAGGAGAUCCAUCUGUUGAUUUUUGGUGUGACCCUAAUUUCUAUUUCGUUCAUGUUUUUUUUGUCUUUCCAUUGUUUUGUUGUUGUAAUGUGAUUUCUUAUGUUUGUUAAAGUUGCAAGAAUUUUCAGGUUUAUGUCAGAAGAUUCAGUACUACUACUCACUACUAGUUAUCUAAUUUAAGUUAAACAAAGAGGAACUUGAAAAUAUUAGUUUAGAACAAAGUAACUUAAAAGAGACUAAAAUACUAAGUGUAAAUUACAAGAGAGAAAUGAAAACAUAUAGCCUUUGGUAGCCAAAAUCCAAAGUUGCAUUGUCUCUCCUCUGAUGGAUUAUUUUCCCUCUUCAAACUUCGAUGAGUUAGGGAUGACCUCUGAUAUAGCCUUUGGUAGCCAAAAUCCAGGUCGUUCGAUAGAGGCUGCACGAUCAAGUACCAAUGGAUCCCGCAAUGUGAUCUGAAUGCCAUCAUAUGUCCACAACUCUAGCUAAGCCAGCAACCGCAACAUCCAUGUUCUUGACAUUCCAGCUCGUUCCACGUGCUUUUACUUCCUGCUUUGGCCAUUGUCCUAAUUUAGAAACUCGCUCCAUAGAAAUCAGAGGCGGAAGAUAAGAAAAAAAAAAAAAGGAACAAUUAGAGGAUUUUAUUUACACAUACGGCACUAUGACAUCUGCUAUUGGCUAACUUGCAACAUGUUGUUAGUUGUUAACUUGUUUUUGCAACUACGACUUCUCUUUAGCAAAGAAUACUAUCUCACCUUUCAUUGUACUUCUCUCAAAUCUAUAUGUUGAUAUUCAACAAAAAACAUAAUACUCAUGUAGUUCAAGUGGAAUUGGCUAUAAAGUAGGAAAUAUUAUUGAAUCAGAAAUAGUGCAGGAAUUGGAGUAUAACCUGCAAUCUCACUCCAGCAUGGUUUUCUGUCUUUACUAGAUGAAGAGACACACUAGGUGAUGCCCAGACAGUGAUGUAGAUUGUUUCAACUGAGGCUUGAACUAGAUCCAGUCUAACUAUAUGUACAGUCUGCCCAUGCUGCAAGAAAAUGGUGAAAAUUGCAUUUUAGAGUCGAAAAGUCAUUUUUGCAGCCUUACCCUGCAUUUAAGGAAGAGGCUGUUUUCACAACUCGAACCCAUGACCUCCUAGUCACAUGGAAGCAACUUUAUAGUUACGUCAAAGCUCCCCUUCAGUAGACAAGUAAGAAAAGAUGUCCUCCAGUGGAAAAGGAAAACCAAAUAUAUCAGUCCCUCCCUUAACCAAUUGAGACUUGAUCUGGUUAAAUAUUAUGAAAAUAUUUUCUUUUCUCUUCAAGUGACAAUUUCUUCUCCUGUUUCCCCCAAAUAUUAUUUAACACGUACGCUAUUUAUAAAAUAAAAAUGAACAAAGUUAUGUAUAGGUACCUUUGCUAUUACCGAAGAAAACUUGCCAUAUGCUUGCCAAGAUCCAUCUCAUUUAAUUUCUCUUCAACAUCUUUCAUUCUCUCUGGAGUCUCCUUCAGCUCUGAACAGUGAUGGAUACCAAGACCUUUAAUGAGAGGCAUUGCACUUGUGCCUAAAUGCCAUCUUUCUAGGUUCCGAAGUUUUAUAAGAUGAAGGAACUCGAGUUGACUGAAGCUGUUAUCACUGCACAUUAUUUCUUUUCCUUCAUAAGCAUCUUCUAAUAUGAGAUUCCUUAGGUUUGGCAACAUUCCCAAAGUAGGCAUCGGAUCUUCCAUGAAUUUUGACUUCCUAAGAACCAUCAUUGUGAUGGAAUUUGGAAACAGAGGCAGUUUCUCUAUUUUCCCAUGUAAGCACAAUUUCUGGAGCUUUUGACAAGAAUUAACAAAUUCCAGGGAUGGGAAUGAUUCAAAACGUUCACAAAACAAUCUGAGAGUGCUAAGGUUUUUCAAGAUGCUAAUGUUGUUUAAGGAGUAAGAUUUCUUAAUACGUUGCAUGCUUAAUUCUCCAAGAUUGACUAAAUCAACAGGGUCAACAUCUAUCCACUGAUCACAACAAACGCCUUGAAGAACUUGAAGACUAGUGAGUUUGCUUAUAAGUUUCAGAGGUUUUGAAUACGAAGCAACUAAAUGUCUUAGAUUUAUCAGGUCAGCUGUCACGCGGGGUAGUCUGCAAGAGUAUAGCCCCUCAUUGACAAUAAGUGUCUGUAGAUUCUUGAGGUUGCCAAUGGAAGAUGGAAGAUCAUGGAUACCUCUCAAUCUUAAGAACUUGAGGUGGUACAAACUUCCUAUGGCAUCAGGUACUGAUGCAGAAUGCCUAUUGUAAACAGGCAUAUCCAAGUACAACACAUAUAGAUGCUGGAAAACACUCCUGAAUUUUAUAAGACUCAUCUUAUGAAAAUCUGGAUCAAAGAACAUAAUUGACCUCAACUUUAAGUUAGAAAGAUCAAGUGAGAGGUACCUUACUCCUUGACUAUGAAUGCCAUGUCUGAUACAUAAAGAGGAUAUGGAGUGGUUCUUUGGAUCAUAAAUGUCAAAGAAGUUCACCUCCAAUGCCUUUUGUAUCACAAGAUCACGAAGUAAAUCAUGAACCCUACAAUGAGUAACUUUUUCCCAAAAUGUGUCUACCACUUGAACCAAGCUUCUUCUUAUCAGCUCAUUCAAGAAGCCUUCAGCCACAUCCUCCAUUCUUUCUUCUCCAUUUGGUACGAAACCCUCAGCCAUCCACAACCUUAUUAUGUUAUCAGCCUCGAGAACUUGAUCUUCUGGAAAAAUACCAAAGUACAGAAAACACUGCUUGAGCACAGUUGACAAAAUCAUUGUAGCUUAAGGAUAGAAUGCAGGAGAUUUCAAUAAAUUUAUCUUCAAUAAUGUUCUUCCAAAGUUGAUCUUUCACUUCUUGCCAUUUGUCCACCCCCCUCUAUGCGAAAGUAGUCCACUCAAUACAACAAUUGCAAGAGGUAAGCCUCUACACUUUUCCACCAUAUCCUUAGCUAGACUUUCCAUUGCUGGAACCAUUGCUCGAACAUCAAGUAGUUUCCUACAAAAGAGAUCCCAACUUUCUUCUUGGCUUAGGAAACGAAGUUUAUGGAUAAAACCUCUGUUGUCUGCUCUUUCAGCGACAUCCUCUUUGCGCGUGGUAAUAAUAACUCUGCUGCCAUUCUUGCUAUCCGGGAAUGCUCUUUUCAAACUUUCCCAUGCUUCUCUCUGCCAUACAUCAUCAACCACCACAAGGUAUUUGCGUUCUUUUAAUAGAUCACGAAGAUAAAUUUCUAGAUCUCCUUCUGUCAUCCUUUCCAACAAAUCUAGAGUUUCGUUGGUG
rnacentral:lncRNA from 1 species